GUCCACGGCCAUGCCACCUUAGACGUACCCAAUCUCAUCUGAUCUCGGAAGCUAAGCAGGGUCGGGCCUGGUUAGUACUUGGAUGGGAGAAUGUGUCCGAGCUAAGUCCUGGAAAGCGCAGGGU
rnacentral:rRNA from 1 species